rnacentral:tRNA from 1 species
CUUGUAGCUCAAUGGAUAGAGUAGCGGCCUCCGACGCCGUUGGUUGUGGGUUCGACUCCCGUCAAG